CAGUAGCCACGGUAAUACAGAGGGUGCGAGCGUUAAUCGGAUUUACUGGGCGUAAAGCGUGCGUAGGCGGCUUUUUAAGUCGGAUGUGAAAUCCCUGAGCUUAACUUAGAAAUUGCAUUCGAUACUGGGAAGCUAGAGUAUGGGAGAGGAUGGUAGAAUUCCAGGUGUAGCGGUGAAAUGCGUAGAGAUCUGGAGGAAUACCGAUGGCGAAGGCAGCCAUCUGGCCUAAUACUGACGCUGAGGUACGAAAGCAUGGGGAGCAAACAGGAUUAGAUACCCCAGUAGUCCCUGUCUCUUAUAC
rnacentral:rRNA from 1 species